ensembl:lncRNA
GCUGCCUUACCAGCUCUGACUUUGUUAUGAGAAAAAUUAAUUUCUUUUUUUUUAAGGGUGAAUUGACUUCUUUUUAAAAAAAUUUUAUUUAAUUUUGGCUGCACUGGGUCUUCGUUGCUGCACGUGGGCUUUUUAGCUGUGACCCCUAGGUUGGAUGCCAGUUUUAUGCAGAAAGAGAAGACCAGCAAUGCAACAGACACGUGGCGAUACCCAAAGAGGGACCCCUGCGCUAUGCCGGUGGAGAUGGAGAAGAGAGACAGACCUUGGUGGCCUCCGGUGGGCAGAGGAUAUGCCCAGGGGAUCUUCUCAUCCCAGGGAUUGAACCCGAAUCUCCUAUGCCUCCUGCAUUGGCCCCCGGAUUGUUUAUCAUUGAGCCACCUGGGAAGGCCCUAAUGAUUAGUACCAAAUAACAAAUAAAAAGUAUGUCCUGUGGUUCUCUGUGUUGGUAUCAGUUUGGAAAUGAGAACAUUUAUUUUUAAACCAGUGAACAGAUUUGGAUGAAACACUCACAAUUAUUCAGCCUACUUUCCCAGUAGGAAUGAAGGUUCACUGAAAUUUCAU